GCAAAAUAUUGGGUUUUCAAAGUACUCUUUUUAGUGUUCUUAUGUAAAAUGUGGUAAUUUGCUUAGGCUUAGUUUUUUAUGAAUCAAAUGAUGCUCAAUUUUGUUGUUUUCAUGUUUUCUUUUUGUGCUUGUAGCUUCGGGGGGCUCUCAGGCGCGGGAGAAUGCUCCAUUGAAAGAUGGUUCAAGCAUCAAUCAGCUUUUUAGUAUUAAAGGAGCUGCUCAAGAAUCAAAUAAAUGGAAGAUUCGACUUCAACUUACAAAACUUGUCACUUGGCCUCCAUUGGUUUGGGGUGUAGUUUGUCGUGCCGCUGCUUUUGGAAAUUUCCAUUGGACUAUUGAGGAUGUUGCUAAAUCAAUUGUGUGCAUGUUGAUGUCUGCCCUGUUUCUAACAGGAUAUACUCAGAAUAUAAAUGAUUGGUAUGACCGACGAAUUCCUUCUGGGGCUAUAUCUGAGAACGAGGUUAUCACUCAAAUAUGAGUGCUGCUACUAGGAGGUCUUGGCUUGGCAGGUCUAAUAGACGUAUGGGUAGGUACUGCUGCAGUGCUUCUGAUAUGGGAACAGUGGUGGGAAAAGGACUAUCUUUAUAUAACUGUAUAUGAUUAAAAAAAGGAGUCUUUGGUUGAGGUUGGUGUGUUAAGAAAUAACAACAUAGCCCCUUCGGUUUGUUAACAUGAGCUUGAAUUUUCUCGACGCGAUGCAACUACUAUGUUCCGAAGAUUUCCUCCACUGUUUUGUUAUAGUAUUAAGAAUAAUCUGGAGCCGAAAUACAAUUACUUUGUGGUGGAGAUGGGGAGAGAUUUGAAGGAGCUGAAGGAGUUUCCACAAUAUUUCUCAUUUAGCUUAGAGAACAGAAUUAAGCCGAGGCAUAAACGCUGCAUAGAAAUGGGGGUGUGUUUCCCUCUUCCUGUGUUGUUAAAGAUGACUGAAACGAGCUUUCAAAAUAGGUUAGAUGUGUGUAUAAAUUCUUCAACACCCUUGAAAAAAUCUCCUCUCUGGUGUGAUGCUUGUGAUAUUCAAGUAUAGAGAAAAAAAUGAACAACAACUGCAUUGUGUAUUUACAUUGCUUUUGAUGAAUCUCUUAGUUUAUAUUAUA